UUGCUUCAGCAGCAGAAAUGCCAAAAUUAAAACAAUUCAGAGAAUAUUAGCAUGGUACCUUUGCAAAGAUGCCAUACAAAUUCAUCAAGUAGUCUAUAUUACU